rnacentral:rRNA from 1 species
UGGGGAAUAUUGGACAAUGGGGGCAACCCUGAUCCAGCAAUGCCGCGUGUGUGAAGAAGGUCUUCGGAUUGUAAAGCACUUUCGACGGGGACGAUGAUGACGGUACCCGUAGAAGAAGCCCCGGCUAACUUCGUGCCAGCAGCCGCGGUAAUACGAAGGGGGCUAGCGUUGCUCGGAAUGACUGGGCGUAAAGGGCGUGUAGGCGGUUUACACAGUCAGAUGUGAAAUCCCCGGGCUUAACCUGGGAGCUGCAUUUGAUACGUGUAGACUAGAGUGUGAGAGAGGGUUGUGGAAUUCCCAGUGUAGAGGUGAAAUUCGUAGAUAUUGGGAAGAACACCGGUGGCGAAGGCGGCAACCUGGCUCAUGACUGACGCUGAGGCGCGAAAGCGUGGGGAGCAACAGGAUUAGAUACCCUGGUAGUCCACGCCUGUAAA